GGGUCAGUAGGUUGGUCGUGCCACCGGUACGUACUGGUCUCACUGAUUCCUCCUUCCUGAAGAACCGUAAUGCCAUUAAUUUGGUGUUGCGGGGAAACAGGACUGUUACUUUGAAAAAAUUAGAGUGUUUAAAGCAAGCUAACGCUUGAAUACAUUAGCAUGGAAUAAUGAAAUAGGACGAUCGAUCCUAUUUUCUUGGUUUCUAGGAUUGACGUA
rnacentral:rRNA from 1 species